GAAUGUUCCCCAAUGGAUGAAAUUCCGUCGGAGAGACGCCGCCAGCGCGAGGAAGGCCCUUGGGCAGUAAACCGCUUUCGGAGGGGAUGAAAUCCUCGAGGGUUCUCCCUCGAGGUCGACCGACCCUCAAAAGAAGCACGGGAUAAGUACGUCCCUGCAGGCGCGGUAACUCGUACUGUGCGAACGUUUUUUGGAAUCACUGGGCCUAAAGGGUGCGUAGGCGGUGAUUUAAGUCAGAUGUGAAAUCCGGGAGAUCAACAGAGGCAUCCGCGGGAAUCAGAAUGUAUAGAGUACAUCAGGGGUGUGCGGAACCCGCAGUGGAGCGGUGAAAUGUGUUGAUAUUGGCAGGAACACCGGAGGCGAAAGCGGCACAGCGGGGAAUUAGCAACGCUGAGGCACGAAAGCCAGGGGAGCUAACGGCCAGGGACACCCCGGUAGUCCAUGCGGUAAACCAAGAGCACCGGGCGGGAGGGCAAAACCUUAAGACUGUGCGAAAGCCCGUGCAU
rnacentral:rRNA from 1 species